rnacentral:tRNA from 2 species
GACCCUUGGGUGUAACACACGUUAGACUGCAAAUCUAAAGUAGGCGCAUUUGCUAAGGGUUU